rnacentral:rRNA from 1 species
UACGUAGGGGGCGAGCGUUGUCCGGAAUGACUGGGCGUAAAGGGUACGUAGGCGGCCGUGUAAGUCAGGUGUGAAAGGCUAGGGCUCAACCCUAGUGAGCACUUGAAACUGCAUGGCUUGAGUCGAGGAGAGGAAAGUGGAAUUCCUGGUGUAGCGGUGAAAUGCGUAGAUAUCAGGAGGAAUACCAGUGGCGAAGGCGACUUUCUGGCCUUAGACUGACGCUGAGGUACGAAAGCGUGGGGAGCAAACAGG